AGAGCUUUAUCCUGGCUCAGGAUGAACGCUGGCGGCGUGCCUAACACAUGCAAGUCGAACGGGAGCGCGCAGGGGACGAGAUUUCGGUCGAGUCGCUCGCGCUUUAGUGGCGGACGGGUGAGUAACGCGUGGAUAACCUGCCUUACACAGGGGGAUAACGCUUAGAAAUAGGCGCUAAUACCGCAUAAGCGCACAGCCUCGCAUGAGGGAGUGUGAAAAGCCACAGCGGUGUAAGAUGGAUCCGCGUCUGAUUAGCCAGUUGGCGGGGUGACGGCCCACCAAAGCGACGAUCAGUAGCCGGCCUGAGAGGGUGGACGGCCACAUUGGGACUGAGACACGGCCCAGACUCCUGCGGGAGGCAGCAGUAGGGGAUUUUCGUCAAUGGGCGCAAGCCUGAACGAGCGAUGCCGCGUGAGUGAAGAAGGCCUUCGGGUCGUAAAGCUCUGUUGCGGGGGAAAAAAGGCAGCAUCAGGAAAUGGGUGCUGACUGAUGGUGCCCCGCCAGAAAGUCACGGCUAACUACGUGCCAGCAGCCGCGGUAAUACGUAGGUGGCGAGCGUUAUCCGGAAUGAUUGGGCGUAAAGGGUGCGCAGGCGGUCCUGCAAGUCUGGAGUGAAACGCAUGAGCUCAACUCAUGCAUGGCUUUGGAAACUGGAGGACUGGAGAGCAGGAGAGGGCGGUGGAACUCCAUGUGUAGCGGUAAAAUGCGUAGAUAUAUGGAAGAACACCAGUGGCGAAGGCGGCCGCCUGGCCUGUUGCUGACGCUGAGGCACGAAAGCGUGGGGAGCAAACAGGAUUAGAUACCCUGGUAGUCCACGCCGUAAACGAUGAUUACUAGGUGUCGGGGAGCAGAGACUGCUCGGUGCCGCAGCCAACGCAUUAAGUAAUCCACCUGGGGAGUACGUCCGCAAGGAUGAAACUCAAAGGAAUUGACGGGGACCCGCACAAGCGGUGGAGCAUGUGGUUUAAUUCGAAGCAACGCGAAGAACCUUACCUGGCCUUGACAUCCCGGUGACAGCGGAGUAAUGUCCGUUUUCCUUCGGGACACUGGAGACAGGUGGUGCAUGGUUGUCGUCAGCUCGUGUCGUGAGAUGUUGGGUUAAGUCCCGCAACGAGCGCAACCCUUACCUUCAGUAGCCAGCAUAUCAGAUGGGCACUCUGGAGGGACUGCCAGGGACAACCUGGAGGAAGGUGGGGAUGACGUCAAGUCAUCAUGCCCCUUAUGGCCAGGGCUACACACGUGCUACAAUGGCGUAAACAAAGAGAAGCGACCACGUGAGUGUGAGCGAAUCUCAAAAAUAACGUCUCAGUUCGGAUUGUAGUCUGCAACUCGACUACAUGAAGCUGGAAUCGCUAGUAAUCGCGGAUCAGAAUGCCGCGGUGAAUACGUUCCCGGGUCUUGUACACACCGCCCGUCA
rnacentral:rRNA from 1 species